ACGGGAGGCAGCAGUGAGGAAUAUUGGUCAAUGGGCGGAAGCCUGAACCAGCCAAGUCGCGUGAAGGAUGAAGGUAUUAUGUAUUGUAAACUUCUUUAGCAGUGGAGUAAUAAGGGAGUCGAGACUUCUGAUGCAAGUACACUGAGAAUAAGGAUCGGCUAACUCCGUGCCAGCAGCCGCGGUAAUACGGAGGAUCCGAGCGUUAUCCGGAUUUAUUGGGUUUAAAGGGAGCGUAGGCGGCCGGUUAAGUCUGCGGUCAAAUGUCAGGGCCCAACCUUGGCAUGCCGUGGAUACUGUCCGGCUUGAGUGCACACAAGGAAGGUGGAAUUCGUCGUGUAGCGGUGAAAUGCUUAGAUAUGACGAAGAACUCCGAUUGCGAAGGCAGCCUUCUGGGGUGUUACUGACGCUGAGGCUCGAAAGUGCGGGAAUCAAACAGGAUUAGAUACCCUGGUA
rnacentral:rRNA from 1 species